GGUAGCGCCUCGGAACGAAUACUACUGGGGGUAGAGCACUGUUAAGGCUAGGGGGUCAUCCCGACUUACCAACCCUUUGCAAACUCCGAAUACCAGUAAGUACUAUCCGGGAGACACACGGCGGGUGCUAACGUCCGUCGUGGAGAGGGAAACAACCCAGACCGCCAGCUAAGGUCCCAAAUUACUACUAAGUGGGAAACGAUGUGGGAAGGCUCAGACAGCCAGGAUGUUGGCUUAGAAGCCAGCCAUCAUUUAAAGAAAGCGUAAUAGCUCACUGGUCGAGUCGGCCUGCGCGGAAGAUGUAACGGGGCUAAGUAGUAAACCGAAGCUGCGGCAAUAUACUUUUGUAUAUUGGGUAGGGGAGCGUUCUGUAAGCGGUUGAAGGUGUGUGGUAACGCAUGCUGGACGUAUCAGAAGUGCGAAUGCUGACAUGAGUAACGAUAAAGGGGUGAAAAACCUCCUCGCCGGAAGACCAAGGGUUCCUGUCCAACGUUAAUCGGGGCAGGGUAAGUCGACCCCUAAGGCGAGGCCGAAAGGCGUAGUCGAUGGGAAACGGGUUAAUAUUCCCGUACUUCUUACAAUUGCGAUGGGGGGACGGAGAAGGCUAGGUGGGCCUGGCGACGGUUUGUCCAGGUUCAAGUGCGUAGGCUUAAGAGUUAGGUAAAUCCGGCUCUUUUUAAGGCUGAGACACGACGUCGAGCACCUACGGGUGUGAAGUCUGAUGCCAUGCUUCCAGGAAAAGCCUCUAAGCUUCAGAUUGUAAGGAAUCGUACCCCAAACCGACACAGGUGGUCGGUAGAGAAUACCAAGGCGCUUGAGAGAACUCGGGUAAGGAACUAGGCAAAAUGGAUACCGUAACUUCGGGAGAAGGUACGCUCUCGACGGUGAAGUCCCUUGCGGAUGGAGCUAUUGAGAGUCGCAGAUACCAGGUGGCUGCAACUGUUUAUUAAAAACACAGCACUGUGCAAAAUCGUAAGAUGACGUAUACGGUGUGACGCCUGCCCGUGCCGGAAGGUAAUUGAUGGGGUUAGACUUCGGUCGAAGCUCUUGAUCGAAGCCCCGGUAAACGGCGGGCCGUAACUAUAACGGUCCUAAGGUAGCGAAAUUCCUUGUCGGUAAGUUCCGACCUGCACGAAUGGCGUAAUGAUGGCCACGCUGUCUCCACCCGAGACUCAGUGAAAUUGAAAUCGCUGUGAAGAUGCAGUGUACCCGCGCUAGACGGGAAAGACCCGUGAACCUUUACUACAGCUUGGCACUGAACAUUGACCCUACAUGUGUAGGAUAGGUGGGAGGCUUUGAAGCACGUACGCCAGUAUGUGUGGAGCCGUCCUUGAAAUACCACCCUUGUAGUGUUGAUGUUCUAACGUCGACCCCUAAUCGGGGUUGCGGACAGUGCCUGGUGGGUAGUUUGACUGGGGCGGUCUCCUCCCAAAGAGUAACGGAGGAGCACGAAGGUGGGCUAAUCACGGUUGGACAUCCGUGAGGUUAGUGCAAUGCAUAAGCCCGCUUGACUGCGAGAAUGACAAUUCGAGCAGGUGCGAAAGCAGGUCAUAGUGAUCCGUGGUUCUGAAUGGAAGGGCCAUCGCUCAACGGAUAAAAGGUACUCCGGGAUAACAGGCCUGAUACCGCCCAAGAGUUCAUAUCGACGGCGGUGUUUGGCACCUCGAUGGUCGGCUCAUCACAUCCUGGGGCUGAAGUCGGUCCCAAGGUAUGGCUGUUCGCCAUUUAAAGUGGUACGCGAGCUGGGUUUAGAACGUCGUGAACAGUUCGGUCCCUAUCUGCCGUGGGCGUUGGAAGAUUGAAGGGGCUGCUCCUAGUACGAGAGGACCGGAGUGGACGAACCUCUGGUGUUCGGGUUGUGUCGCCAGACGCAUUGCGCCGGUAGCUAAGUUCGGAAUCGAUAACCGCUGAAAGCAUCUAAGCGGGAAGCGAGCCUGAGAUGAGUCUUCCCUGAUACUUUAAGUAUCCUAAAGGGUUGUCGGAGACUACGACUUGAUGGUCAGGUGUGUAAGUGCUGUGAGCAUUGACUAACUGAUACUAAUUGCCCGUGAGGCUUAACCA
rnacentral:rRNA from 1 species